CAGUCGCCGCGGGAACACGAAGGGUGCAAGCGUUAAUCGGAAUUACUGGGCGUAAAGCGUGCGUAGGCGGCUUCUUAAGUCGGAUGUGAAAUCCCUGAGCUUAACUUAGGAAUUGCAUUCGAUACUGGGAAGCUAGAGUAUGGGAGAGGAUGGUAGAAUUCCAGGUGUAGCGGUGAAAUGCGUAGAGAUCUGGAGGAAUACCGAUGGCGAAGGCAGCCAUCUGGCCUAAUACUGACGCUGAGGUACGAAAGCAUGGGGAGCAAACAGGAUUAGAUACCCCAGUAGUCCCUGUCUCUUAUAC
rnacentral:rRNA from 1 species